rnacentral:rRNA from 1 species
AGCGAAUAGAUACCCAGGUAGUCCACGCCGUAAACGAUGGAUGCUAGCUGUUAUCAGUAUCGACCCUGGUAGUAGCGAAGCUAACGCGUUAAGCAUCCCGCCUGUGGAGUACGGUCGCAAGACUAAAACAUAAAGGAAUUGACGGGGACCCGCACAAGCGGUGGAGCGUGUUGUUUAAUUCGAUGGUAAGCGAAGAACCUUACCAAGGUUUGACAUCCUGGGAAAGUCUCUGAAAGGAGACCGUGCCUUCGGGUAACCCGACGUGACAGGUGAUGCAUGGCCGUCUUCAGCUCGUGUCGUGAGAUGUUUGGUUAAGUCCAUCAACGAGCGCAACCCUUAUAGUUAGUUGGAUUUCUCUAGCUAGACUGCCCCGGCAACGGGGAGGAAGGAGGGAUGAUGUCAGGUCAGUAUUUCCCUUACACCUUGGGCUACAAACACGCUACAAUGGCCGGUACAAAGGGCAGCUAAGUCGCGAGGCGGAGCAAAUCCCAUCAAAGCCGGUCUCAGUUCGGAUUGCAGGCUGAAACUCGCCUGC